AACGAACGCUGGCGGCAUGCCUAACACAUGCAAGUCGAACGAGACCUUCGGGUCUAGUGGCGCACGGGUGCGUAACACGUGGGAACCUGCCUUUAGGUUCGGAAUAACUCAGAGAAAUUUGAGCUAAUACCGGAUGAUGUCUUCGGACCAAAGAUUUAUCGCCUUUAGAUGGGCCCGCGUUGGAUUAGCUAGUUGGUGGGGUAAAGGCCUACCGAGGCGACGAUCCAUAGCUGGUCUGAGAGGAUGAUCAGCCACACUGGGACUGAGACACGGCCCAGACUCCUACGGGAGGCAGCAGUGGGGAAUAUUGGACAAUGGGCGAAAGCCUGAUCCAGCAAUGCCGCGUGAGUGAUGAAGGCCUUAGGGUUGUAAAGCUCUUUUACCCGAGAUGAUAAUGACAGUAUCGGGAGAAUAAGCUCCGGCUAACUCCGUG
rnacentral:rRNA from 1 species